GAAGGGUGCAAGCGUUACUCGGAAUUACUGGGCGUAAAGCGUGCGUAGGUGGUGAGUUAAGUCUGUCGUGAAAGCCCCGGGCUCAACCUGGGAAUGGCGAUGGAUACUGGCUCGCUAGAGUGCGGUAGAGGAGAGUGGAAUUCCCGGUGUAGCAGUGAAAUGCGUAGAGAUCGGGAGGAACAUCAGUUGCGAAGGCGGCUCUCUGGACCAGCACUGACACUGAGGCACGAAAGCGUGGGGAGCAAACAGGAUUAGAUACCCUGGUAGUCCACGCCCUAAACGAUGCGAACUGGACGUUGGGAGCAACUAGGCUCUCAGUGUCGAAGCUAACGCGUUAAGUUCGCCGCCUGGGGAGUACGGUCGCAAGACUG
rnacentral:rRNA from 1 species